rnacentral:rRNA from 1 species
UACAGAGGGUGCAAGCGUUAAUCGGAUUUACUGGGCGUAAAGCGCGCGUAGGCGGCUAAUUAAGUCAAAUGUGAAAUCCCCGAGCUUAAACUUGGGAAUUGCAUUCGAUACUGGUUAGCUAGAGUGUGGGAGAGGAUGGUAGAAUUCCAGGUGUAGCGGUGAAAUGCGUAGAGAUCUGGAGGAAUACCGAUGGCGAAGGCAGCCAUCUGGCCUAACACUGACGCUGAGUGCGAAAGCAUGGGGAGCAAACAGGG